rnacentral:rRNA from 1 species
GACGAACGCUGGCGGCGUGCUUAACACAUGCAAGUCGAACGAAGUGGCGAACGGGUGAGUAUUAUGUGUGUAACCUGUCCUCCUUUUUGGGAUAAGCCUUUGAAACGGGGUCUAAUUCCGAAUCCAUGGGGCUGGGCCCGCGGCCUAUCAGCUUGUUGGUGGGGUGAUGACCUCCCAAGGCGGUGACGGGUAGCCGGCCUGAGAGGGUAACCGGGGACAUUGGGCCUGGGAUACGGCCCAGAGUCCGAAGGGAGGCAGCAGUGGGGGAUAUUGCACAAAGGGCGAAGGCCUGAUGCAGCGACGCAGCAUGGGGGAUGAAGGCUUUCGGGUUGUAAAACUCGUUAGGUAUCGAGCGGGUAGGUGGAGAAGAAGCGCCGGCUAACUACGUGCCAGCAGCCGCGGUAAUUC